rnacentral:rRNA from 1 species
GACGAACGCUAGCGGCAGGCCUAACACAUGCAAGUCGAGGGGUAGACAUCUUCGGAUGUUGAGACCGGCGCACGGGUGCGUAACGCGUAUGCAAUCUACCUUUUGCAGGGGAAUAGCCCAAAGAAAUUUGGAUUAAUGCCCCAUAGUAUAAUGAUAAGGCAUCUUAUUAUUAUUAAAGUCACAACGGCAAAAGAUGAGCAUGCGUCCCAUUAGCUAGUUGGUAAGGUAACGGCUUACCAAGGCAAUGAUGGGUAGGGGUCCUGAGAGGGAGAUCCCCCACACUGAUACUGAGACACGGACCAGACUCCUACGGGAGGCAGCAGUGAGGAAUAUUGGACAAUGGGCGCAAGCCUGAUCCAGCCAUGCCGCGUGCAGGAAGACGGUCCUAUGGAUUGUAAACUGCUUUUAUACAGGAAGAAACACUCCCUCGUGAGGGAACUUGACGGUACUGUAAGAUAAGGAUCGGCUAAC